ACCAGCACCUCAAGUGGUCAGGAUGAUUAUUGGGCCUAAAGCAUCCGUAGCUCGUUUUGUAAGUUUUCGGUUAAAUCCAUGCGCUUAACGUAUGGGCUGCCGGGAAUACUGCAUAACUAGGAAGUGGGAGAGGUAGACGGUACUCGGUAGGAAGGGGUAAAAUCCUUUGAUCUAUUGAUGACCACCUGUGGCGAAGGCGGUCUACCAGAACACGUUCGACGGUGAGGGAUGAAAGCUGGGGGAGCAAACCGGA
rnacentral:rRNA from 1 species